AAGCCAUGAACAAGCCCUAUGACAUUAAGAGGUCCUGCUGGGUCAAAGAUGAGAAGGAAGGCUUCGUCGCUGGGGAGAUCCAGUCUGAACAGGGUGACCAAGUCACCGUGAAGACGAUCACCAACCAGACACUCACUGUGAAGAAGGAUGAUAUCCAGCAGAUGAACCCACCCAAAUUCUACCAGGCCAGUGACAUGGCAGACAUGACCUUCCUGAAUGAGGCCAGUGUCCUAGACAAUCUGCGCCAACGCUACACCAACAUGAGGAUCUAUACCUACUCGGGCUUGUUCUGCGUGACGGUCAACCCCUACAAGUGGCUGCCCAUCUACGGGGCCCGUGUGGCUAACAUGUACAAGGGCAAGAAGCGCACAGAGAUGCCGCCUCACCUCUUCUCCAUCUCUGACAACGCCUACCACGACAUGCUUAUGGAUCGUGAGAAUCAGUCUAUGCUAAUCACCGGAGAAUCUGGUGCUGGUAAGACUGAGAACACGAAGAAGGUCAUCCAGUACUUUGCCAACAUUGGAGGAACUGGCAAACAGACCACAGAUAAGAAGGGGUCUCUGGAGGAUCAAGUCAUCCAGGCAAACCCUGUGCUGGAGGCCUUUGGGAACGCCAAGACCACCAGGAACAACAACUCCUCUCGCUUCAUCUCUUAGAGAAAUCUCGUGUCAUCUCACAGCAAGCAGCCGAGAGAAGCUACCACAUCUUCUACCAGAUUCUCUCAAACAAGAAGCCUGAACUUGUUGAGAGUUUGCUGCUGGUCCCCAACCCUAAGGAAUACCACUGGGUGAGCCAAGGCGUCACCACUGUGGACAACAUGGAUGACAAGGAGGAGCUGCAGAUCACAGAUGAAGCCUUUGACGUACUGGGCUUCAGCGCCGAGGAGAAGAUGGCCGUGUAUAAGCUGACGGGAGGUAUCAUGCACUUUGGGAACAUGAAGUUCAAGCAGAAGCCCAGAGACGAGCAAGCUGAAGUGGACACCACUGAGGUGGCUGACAAAGUCGCCCAUCUCAUGGGUCUCAACUCUGGUGAACUGCAGAAAGGCAUUACCAGGCCCCGAGUCAAAGUUGGCAAUGAGUUUGUGCAAAAAGGCCAGAACAUGGAACAGUGCCAAAACUCCAUUGGGGCUCUGGGCAAGGCUGUCUAUGACAAGAUGUUCAAGUGGUUGGUGGCCAGGAUUAACAAGACCUUGGACACCAAGAUGCAGAGGCAGUUCUUCAUUGGAGUGCUGGACAUCGCUGGCUUUGAGAUCUUUGAGUUCAACAGCUUUGAGCAGCUAUGCAUCAACUUCACCAACGAGAAGCUGCAGCAGUUCUUCAACCACCACAUGUUCGUGCUGGAGCAGGAGGAGUACAAGAGGGAAGGCAUCGAGUGGGUCUUCAUCGACUUUGGCCUCGACCUUCAGGCCUGCAUCGACCUGCUGGAAAAGCCCAUGGGCAUCUUCUCCAUCUUGGAGGAACAGUGCGUCUUCCCCAAAGCCACCGAUGCCACGUUCAAGGCAGCCCUGUACGACAACCACCUGGGCAAGUCCAGCAACUUCCUGAAGCCCAAGGGGGGCAAGAGCAAGGGGCCCGAGGUCCACUUCGAGCUGGUUCACUACGCAGGCACCGUG
ensembl:lncRNA novel transcript